ensembl:lncRNA
AGCCAGAGCCCCUUGGUAAGUGAAGCUCCUGAGCCUGCAGCCAGGGACCUGACACUGGGACCUGUGUAAGGAAGCCUGAGAAGAAGGCAGGUACCCUAGGGCUGGUGGCAAGCCAGCCAGGAGGAAGGAGACUCUUAAGUCUUGUCUGAGUUGUCGGAUUGCACUCUUGGCAGGCAUAGGUCAAACAGCAUGCCAGUGGGGCAUCUGCUGCUUGAAGACUCCCAUCUCAGGACAACUUGAUCAUGGAACGGAGCACUGUAGGCUCCACUGAGCUCAAGACAACUCCCACACAUCUGCCUGGUUUAUGUUUGUGCAACAAUGUGCCCACACUGCCUACACUGGGUCCUAAUGGGAAACAAAGUUGGGGUUAGCUCCUCUCUAGGCUAUCAGGUGAGGAAACUAUCCUUCCUGGUAACCUGUAAGGAGCUAACAAGAGUCCUUUUGGGUUCCAAUUUGAACUGCUAUUUUUGUCCAGCUGGCAUGCUUAGGGCAUUUCUUCUGUAUGGGAUAAUUUGUAAACUGCAGUUACAGGAUUAACUUGUUCUGCUUUCUGCUUGUACUAAGGUAAAUAUUGCUAUUCGAGAUUACACAGAAGUUGUUCAGCCAGUCCUGAUUGGAAUGUAAACUUUGUGUUAACUCAGACCAAAGCGGGGAAGAAAGUACCAGGGCAUUUAUGUUUUUCUUUUUUUUUUGGUACCAGGGAUCAAACUCGGGUCCUUGUGCUUGCAAGGCAGGUGCCAGAACUACUGAGCUAAAUCCCUGGCCCCUCCAGGGCAUUUAAAAUCCAAUAGGCCACCAGACUUUUACAGAAGGAAACAGUAAGCAGGAUAAAGAAAAGUCAUAAGUUUGUCCUGAGUCAAUUUAAACAUAAUUUAACAGACUUGUCAUUGGAAAAUCCAUAUCUUGAGAUGUUCACAGGUUUAAAAAAAAAAAAAAAGACCAAGCUUCUCCUAGGGGUGAACGUGCUGUUGGGGCACCCCCUUCACACCACAGUCAGAGAUUUCUACAUGAGUAUAGACUGUAAAGGCAGGGAUGUGCAGCUGAGAAAACAGAGCGUGACUGUAGAUUACAGAGGUAGCGAAGGUGGUGCCCCCCCCAUCCGUGAUAUUGUGCCCAACACUGGUCUCCUGACUGAACAACAGAUGCAGACUGUGGCCUCCUACUGUGAUCUUUUGAAUUUUGCUAACAAUUUCAUUAGCUGCUGAGUCCCGGGACCAGCUUACAUUCACCUGGAAUAGACUGAAAUGGUGGAAUUAGUCAGACUCAUGGUCAGGGCAUCCACUUAGGCCCUAAGGCCUGACCUGAGGUCAUAAGUUAUGGAGAGAGAGAUGCAAUGACCAAAAGGGCACUGGUGCCACCUAGUUCACAAGAAACGUCUGGUAGGAAAUUUGGGCUCCUAUGGGGACACCGCAGAGCUCAAGAGGUCUCUGUCCUGCUGCAGGGAUGCCCUCAGGAGGAUCCCAGACCUAGUCUUCUCUCUCUCUCCCCUCUCCAUAGACCCUACAAAGCACCAUGGGCAACAUCCUGCUAACCCCUCCCACCUCACCAUGAGGCUGUAUCCUUAAUAAUUAAAAACAAUUUGCAAUAAAGUUUGGGCCCAAUAUGAACCAGGGGACGGAGAACAGUGGCCAAAAAGUGGCAGUCUAAAUUAUAAUACUAUUCUCCAGUUAGAUCUCUUUUUCAAAAGUCAAGGGAAAUGGUCAGAAAUCCCUUAUGUGCUGGCUUUUAUGACCCUCUAUUGAAAACUAUCCCUCUGCAAAGGCCCAAGAGAUACCGCCCUUUAAAAGGCUUCUGAACCACACAUUGGUAUUACUAAUGACCCCUCUUUAGAUUACCACAGUCUCUCAGGGGAACCAAGUGGGACCCUCUCAACUUCCUCAUAAUCCUCAAGCCAGUGCAUAUGCACCACCCUCUCCCAGUGACUCGGAACCCUGUCCCAGGCUAGCUCUUCAGAGAGGCUAAGACACCUUAAACCCCUCCCAGUGACCCCAAGGCCACAUUAAGUCCUGCAGGACAUGUGUGGAGUGGAGCUUCUUACUCUUCCAGGUCGCAACCUAUCCUGCCUUGGAAGAUGACUGGGGCAGGGGGGGAUCAUCUGAGUCCAAGUCCCUUUUCAGUCACAGACAUCAACAAUGCAAGGAGCACUUAGGUCGAUUUUCUGAGGAUCAUCCUAGGUUUGCAAAUGAGCUCCAAACUUUGUCCCUUGUUUUUGACCUUUCUUGGUGAGAUGUGCAGUUUGUUCUAGCUGCCUGUUGCACACCAGGUGAAAAACAAAGACUCCUUGGCCGGGAUUUACCUCAGUGGUUCUGCCACCUGCCUCAAAAGCUCAAGGUCCCAAGUUUGACCUCUGGUACCGCAAAAAACAAGCAAAAAACAAAGACUCCUUGAGUAAGCAAGGUGAUACACAGAUCAUCAGUUUGUGGUAGAUAGAGAGAAAAUCAGGAGAUGUUAGCCAUACCACAUACUGAUCCAAAUUGGGAUUAUUAUACUACAGGAGGACUAGAGAUGAGAGCUAAGACGGUAGCAGAAAACCUGUAAACUACAAAAAAGUUAACUACAAAAAAAAAAAAAAUGAGAGAGAUUAUCCAAGAAAAGGAAGAAAAUCCAGCUAUCUUUCAUAGCCAGCUAGAGGAAGCCUUCCAAAAGUAUGUAUUCUUCACCCAGCGGGGAAGGGCUCUCUUGGGACAUUCUAUUAGACAAUCCACCCUAGAUAUCCACCAGAGACCACAAAAACUUCAGAUGGGACCUCAAACCACUGGCUGGACAUGAUCUUCUCCACGUUCAACAACUGGGAUCAGAAAGAGGGUGAAAGGGAAAGGAACCGAGAUCGGAGACAGGCAAAAAUAAUGGUCACCACAAGUAGUAACACUCAAGCCCAGAUUGUCCAAGGAAAAACCUGAGAAAACAGAAAGGGUUCUUGCUUUAAGUUCAAAGAUACUGACUGGUUGGUUGGUCACUGGGCUUGAGAAUGUUCACAUCCACCGCCUGGACCCUGCCCAGAGUUUUGAGACGCUGAUCUCAACCCAUGGCAUUGGAAGGUCCACUGUCCACAGAGAGAUGCAGCCAGCCAAAACUUUAAAUGCCAACCCAGUGGAUGAGGACGGAAGGAGCCCAAGGCAAUUCACAAUCCCCCCAUCAGAAAACACAUCCAUCACCAUCAAAGUACCCUGGGGAGCCUUGGACAUUAGACUUCAAGGAACAUUUCACCACAGUCUUCUGAACUUCUGGGGAUAUCAACAUCUUCCAACUGACCCCACAAUCCUCAUUUCCCCUGUAGAUCAGUAGGGAUGGCGUUCAUACUCAGCAGGAAGCAGUUCUGGAAAAUUGAGACCAUCAACCUUCAACAAGCUAUAAUGAAUUAUGGGAAUCAUGUCUCUCACAGGGAAGUUGAAGCAGGAAGCAGAGCAAGGACAAGUAAACAACAGAAAGCUGAGAGACAAGAAUCCAGAAGCCAGACAGAGCAAGACAGAAACCAGAUAGAGACAACUAUGCCAAAAUAUCAGGAAAACAAGAUAAUAGUGACUCUGCACCCCAGCCCCAAGAUUCCAGGCAUGCGUAAACCCAAAAGUACACAACCUUGGCCUGCAGUUUUGACACCCCACCCACAGUGGUCUUUUGAGGCCAUGACACUUUUUCUAAAACCUCCCACGUCAAACUCCCCCCUCCUAAUGAGUGGGCUGAGUCACGUACCCCAUUGGCCCAUAACUCCUGUCAAUCCCCACCUGUAGACCCUCCCAUAACCCCAGGAUCCAAACAAACCCAGUAGCUGCCCCUGUUGGGACAUGAGCUCUUCUCACUGGCCCAGUCCCACCCUGUGGACCUUUACUUCUUUCACUUGCUCUUGUUGCUCCUUUUAAAUAAAUCUUACUCUUACUACUCUUUCUGAGUUUCCUGCUCAGUUCUUUGUUUGAGACACCAAGAAC